AUGAUUUUUUAUUAUUUGUGAACGUACUACGAACAAACAAAAAUAUCAUAGUCCAAAAAAAUUAAAUCA
rnacentral:misc_RNA from 1 species